rnacentral:tRNA from 1 species
ACCUGGCUGGCUCAGUUGGAAGAGCAUAUGACUCUUGAUCUCAGGGUCAUGAGUUCGAGUCCCGUGUCAGGUG